rnacentral:rRNA from 1 species
CGCCUCUUGAUAAAAUAUAAGAGGUCCAGCCUGCCCAGUGACAUAGUUAAACGGCCGCGGUACCCUGACCGUGCGAAGGUAGCAUAAUCACUUGUUCUUUAAAUGGGGACUCGUAUCAACGGCAUCACGAGGGCUUUACUGUCUCCUUUCUCCAAUCAGUGAAACUGAUCUCCCCGUGAAGAAGCGGGGAUGACAAUAUAAGACGAGAAGACCCCAUGGAGCUUUAAACCCAACGACACCCCUCAACCCCCCAACCCAUUAUAGUUGCUACAGCCCUGUUCGUUGGUUUUAGGUUGGGGUGACCGCGGAGUAUAAAUUACCCUCCACGACGAAUGGGACUACCCCCUUACCCAAGAGCUACUCCUCUAAGGAUCAACAGAUUGACGUAAAAUGAUCCAAGCAUUUGAUCAACGGACCAAGUUACCCUGGGGAUAACAGCGCAAUCCAUUUCAAGAGCUCCUAUCGACAAAUGGGUUUACGACCUCGAUGUUGGAUCAGGGUACCCAAGUGGUGC